rnacentral:rRNA from 1 species
GACGAACGCUGGCGGCGUGCCUAAUACAUGCAAGUCGAACGCAGUGGGGACGGGUGAGUAACCUGUGGGUAAGCUCCCAUACGUGGGGAUACCACUUGGAAACAGGUGCUAAACCGAUACUGAUGGCUGAUCGCGCGGUGCAUGAGCUAGUUGGUGAGGUAACGGCUCACCAAGGCAACGAUGCAUAUCCGACCGGAGAGGGUGAUCGGCCACACUGGGACUGAGACACGGCCCAGACUCCUACGGGAGGCAGCAGUAGGGAAUCUUCGGCAAUGGACGAAAGUCUGAUCGAGCAAUGCCGCGUGAGUGAAGAAGGUUUUCGGAUCGUAAAACUCUGUUAUUAGAGAAGCGUUAUCUAACCAGAAAGCCACGGCUAACUACGUGCCAGCAGCCGCGGUAAUUC